rfam:Alistipes sp. An116 An116_contig_6, whole genome shotgun sequence.
GGGGGUGCCCGGUUUUGACAGCAGGCAGAGUUUGAUUGUAAGCACGCCGAGCGCUGUGUGGCGGCUCGUAAAUCCCGACGCUCGAACUACAAAUGGCAAUAACAGCUACGCACUCGCUGCCUAAUUUUCAAGGAAAAUUAGCUUAAUCGCCGAGGCCAAGGCGUCUUGGCGACGAGUAUCCCGGAGAGGUGUUCCGCUCUUUAAUGCCUUUCCAUACGGGGUAUCAUUCAUUUAGAGAUAGUGCACCGGCGGUCCCGACCGGCGUGCGAAGAUCAAGGGACUGGGCCCUGUGCUGGGUUGUUGCCUGCCAGGUACGGGGAGAAGGAUCAAACGGCGACUAAGCGUGUAGAAAGCUUUCGGGUUCCCUGUUUGGACGCGGGUUCGACUCCCGCCACCUCCACAA